rnacentral:misc_RNA from 1 species
GAUGAAGAACGUAGCGAAAUGCGAUAAGUAAUGUGAAUUGCAGAAUUCAGUGAAUCAUCGAAUCUUUGAACGCACAUGGCGCCUUCCAGUAUCCUGGGAGGCAUGCCUGUCCGAGCGUCGUUUCAACCCUCGAGCCCCCGUGGCCCGGCGUUGGGGAUCUGCCACGGCAGGCCCCUAAAACCAGUGGCGGACCCGAAGGCCCUCUCCUUUGCGCAGUAGCAUCAGCCUCGCAUUGGGAUCCCUCGGCGUCCUGCCUCUAAACCCCCCACAAGUCCGCUCCGGCGGCACCAAGGUUGACCUCGGAUCAGGUAGGAAUACCCGCUGAACUUAAGCAUAUCAAUAAGCGGAGGA